CAGGAGCGGGAGGCCGAGCGGAGGCGUGGUUUCCCCUUCCCAGCGACCCGCUGAGGCGGCAGCGGCGGCGGCGGAGUGUCGGAGGAGCCGGGUGGAGUAGGAGCCAGGAGCGGUGGAUGAGGUAGCCAGAGAAAUGGCACACCACACAUGCCUUCUUAUCCAAUGUGGAUCCUCCAGCCACAGGUGCACUUUUCCAGAGAUUAGAAGUCACCGAGUCCUGUCUGUCUCCUGUGGACAGUCCUAGCCAGAAGAUGAUAGAGAAGGAAAUUUACUUAAGGCUUGGGCAACCUCUCCCCAAGAAAAUCCUAUCAGAAUGGCGAAAAGGGCAACACUUUAAGCAUUUCACUCUGUAAUGGCCAGACUGAGUAACAAAUCCUUCAGUACAGAGGGCCUGGGUGAAGAUCUCCCUCCUCAGGGACAGAGCACUUGCCUCUACUGGAGCCCUCAAGACCUCCUACAGCUGAAAACUGAUUUAAUGUACACCCAGCUAAUAGAGGAUCCAAGGUGACUUGGAUAAGUUGCUGUGAGUCACAGAAGUGAUGAGAAAUUCUGUGAUACCAUCCUAUGUUUAUAACUUCCAUGCCCUCCUCCACAACCAAAUUCAAAUUGCAAAUAGCAAUAGAUGACCAUGAAUAUUUGAUCAACAUGGUAUGGUGGGAAGCACAUGAGCAUGUGGCCAGACAUGUGAUUUUGAAUUAUAUCUCUGUCACUUACUGGCUUAAUGAUCUUGGGCAAGUUACUUAACCUCUCUGAAUCUUAAUUUCUCCAUUUAAGGAAUAAUUACCUUUGUUAAGUUGUUCAGGUUUAAGGCUCUGAUACAUGGAAAGGGCCUGACAAAUGAUGGUAUGAUCAUUAUGGUGGGAGAUCUUCUGCUUAUACCUCACUGUGCUAAAACACUUCAUAGGCAUAAUAAAAUGCAAAGCCUGUCUUACCUUUCUCCUACCAUCUCUAUGCUAAAUCUUGGAGGAUGUGAGCCUUUUAGAGAAGCUGAAUGCUGUAAAGCAAGAAGUUGAUUUCAGGGGCGCCUGGGUGGCUCAGUCGUUAAGCGGCUGCCUUUGGC